rnacentral:rRNA from 1 species
AGAGCACAAGGGGAAUGCCUUGGCACCGAGAGCCGAAGAAGGACGUGACUAACUGCGAUAAGCUACGGGGAGCUGUAAGUGAGCGUUAUAUCCGUAGAUUUCCGAAUGGAGCAAUCCGAUUAGAGGAAAGUCUAAUCAUCAUAUACUGAAUACAUAGGUAUAUGAGGGGAACCGCCUGAACUGAAACAUCUAAGUAGGGCGAGGAAGAGAAAUCAACUGAGAUUCCGUAAGUAGUGGCGAGCGAACGCGGAAGAGGCCAAACCUAAUGUAGUAAUAUGUUAGGGGUUCGGACAGUAUAAUGAAUUGUCGAAAUUUAGCCGAAUGUCAUGGGAAGGGCAAUCAAAGAAGGUGAAAAUCCUGUAGGCGAAAAGUUAAGACAUCAGACUGUAUCCAGAGUACCGCCGGACACGUGAAACCCGGUGGGAAUACGGGGGGACCAUCCUCCAAGCCUAAAUACUACUCGGUGACCGAUAGAGAAGAAGUACUGUGAAGGAAAGGUGAAAAGCACCCCGGAAGGGGAGUGAAAGAGAACCUGAAACCUUGUGUUUACAAGCACCGAAAGUUCAUCAACGAACGAUCGGGUACCUUUUGUAGAAUGGUCCGGCGAGUGAAUGUAACUGGCAAGGUUAAGCACUUAAGGUGUGAAGCCGUAGCGAGAGCGAGUCUGAAAAGGGCGCAUGAAGUCAGUUGUAUUCGACCCGAAACCGGGUGACCUACCCAUGUCCAGGCUGAAGUGCAGGUAAAACUUCAUGGAGGGCCGAACCGACUCCCGUUGAAAUGGUAGCGGAUGAGGUGUGGGUAGCGGAGAAAUUCCAAUCGAACCCGGAGAUAGCUGGUUCUCUCCGAAAUAGCUUUAGGGCUAGCCUUGGAAUAGAUUACUGGAGGUAAAGCACUGAAUUGGCUAGGGGCCGAGAGGUUACUGAACCUUAUCAAACUAAGAAUGCCAGAUAAUCGUUUUCCAGGAGUCAGACAGUGGGAGAUAAGUUUCAUUGUCAAAAGGGAAACAGCCCAGACCUACAGCUAAGGUCCCAAAUGUAUGCUAAGUGGAAAACGAUGUGGAGUUGCGAAAACAACCAGGAUGUUGGCUUAGAAGCAGCCAUUCAUUAAAAGAGUUCGUAAUAGAUCACUGGUCGAGUGACUCUGCGCGGAAAAUAUAACGGGGCUAAGCAUGCAACCGAAGCUUAGGAUUGUCGAAAGACAGUGGUAGGGGAGCGUCGUGUACGGGGUGAAGUCGCAGCGGAAGCAGCGGUGGACUGUACAGGAGUGAGAAUGCCGGAAUGAGUAGCGAGAAUUAUGUGGGAAUCAUAAUGGCCGAAAAUCUAAGGUUUCUUGGGGAAGGUUCGUCCGCCCAAGGUAAGUCGGGAGCUAAGCUCAGGCCGAGAGGCGUAGGCGAUGCACAUACGGUAGAAAUUCCGUAACCACCGAAACUUAAACAGAGGGACACUUCGAAAUAGCGGAACCCGGGCGUUGGUUGACCCGGGCGAAAGGGAGCGAAAUUAGAGUAGCGAAGUCCGCGAUGUUCGGAGGCGAGAAAAGCUCUGAGGUAUGCUAAGGUGCCCGUACCGCAAACCGACACAGGUAGAUGAGGAGAGAAUCCUAAGGCCAACGGGAGAAGGGUUGUUAAGGAACUCGGCAAAUUGACCCCGUAACUUCGGGAGAAGGGGUGCUCCAGAGAUGGAGCCGCAGAGAAUCGGCCCAAGCAACUGUUUACCAAAAACACAGGUUUGUGCUAAAUCGAAAGAUGACGUAUACGAGCUGACGCCUGCCCGGUGCUGGAAGGUUAAGAGGAGAUGUGCAAGCAUUGAAUCGAAGCCCCAGUGAACGGCGGCCGUAACUAUAACGGUCCUAAGGUAGCGAAAUUCCUUGUCAGGUAAGUUCUGACCCGCACGAAUGGUGUAACGAUCUGGGCACUGUCUCAACAACCCGCCCGGCGAAAUUGUAGUACCGGUGAAGAUGCCGGUUACCCGCGACUAGACGGAAAGACCCCAUGGAGCUUUACUACAACUUAAUAUUGAGUAAUUGCAAAUCAUGUAGAGGAUAGGUGGGAGGCUAUGAAGUAAUGGCGCUAGCUAUUAUGGAGCCGCCCUUGGAAUACCACCCUUGAUUUACAGUUAUUCUAACUUCCUCCCUGGAUGGGAGGGAAGACAGUGUUAGGCGGGUAGUUUGGCUGGGGCGGCCGCCUCCCAAAUAGUAACGGAGGCGCCCUAAGGUACCCUCAGUAUGGUCGGAAAUCAUACGUAGAGCGCAAAUGCAUAAGGGUGCUUGACUGCGAGACACACAGGUCGAGCAGGUACGAAAGUAGGGAUUAGUGACCAGGCGGUUUCAUUGUGGAAUGGCCGUCGCUUAACGGAUAAAAGCUACCCUGGGGAUAACAGGCUGAUCGCGUCCAAGAGUUCACUUCGACGACGCGGUUUGGCACCUCGAUGUCGGCUCAUCACAUCCUGGAGGGGCAGUACCUUCCAAGGGUUAGGCUGUUCGCCUAUUAAAGUGGUACGCGAGCUGGGUUCAAAACGUCGUGAGACAGUUUGGUCCCUAUCUGUCGUGGGCGUAGGAAGUUUGAAAGGAUCUGACCCUAGUACGCAAGGACCAGGUUGGACGUAACUACGGUACACCGGUUGUUUCGCCAGAAGCAUAGCCGGGUAGCCGCUUACGGAUCGAAUAAACGCUGAAAGCAUCUAAGCGUGAAAUCGUCCUUAAGAUGAGACUUCCGAUUCUAACGAAUUAAGAUCCCUUCUAUGUUAGGAGGUUGAUAGGUCACAGAUGUACGCAUAGUGAUAUGUUUAGUCGAGUGAUACUAAUAGAUCGAUCACUUAUUU